CAGAAAGUAAAAUAAAGGUUGCAAAGCGGGGUGGAGAGCCUGCCCACAGAACUGCUGGCUCCUGGGCUGGAGGUGUGUAUAAACAGGAACCUGCUAUUGCAUUCUUCAGAGGUUAGCUAAGAGAUGCAGGUGCAGCCUACGUGGUACUUAUCUUCUUGGCUUUGACAAGUUAGAAAUAUUUAUCCUUUAGUACCUACUGUGUUGCCUACUCUAUGUAGGAGCCUAUUGAGUUUCUGGCCCUUUCUGUUGGUUGUUUUAAGUUAGUAUUUUGUUUGUUUGUUUGUUUGUUUGUUUGUUUAUUCUUCCUUAUCACCUCCUUGAUCUACAGCAGAAGUUCGAAAGUCCAGUGAGGUCUGUGAACCAUCCCGACUCGCCCUGUCCCACUGUCUGCCCUCUGAACAGGUCAAAUCAACUUUCCAGGCCUGCCUGUAACCAGCGUGGCCUUUGUAAGUUGGCGUAACAGAGCACAGGCUGAAAUAAUGUCAAGAUUCAAACCCAAGCCUCCAGGCAUGAGAUGUUUGUUAUGAAAUCCCACCCACCUCAGCCCUGAGCCCAGGUUGCAAAACAUGCCAACAGAGCCAGACAGCACUUUGAGGCAAGGACCAUCAGCUAUGCCGUGCCUACAGAUGGACUUCUCAAAAGCCACAGUGCAUCCCAGACUUUUAUCUGGCUCUCCUAAUGGCAUGUGCCCCUUCUCUCUAAGAAACAUCACUACCUGCUCCUCCUGGGUCACCUGUUCCUCCUGGGCGCAGAUGACUUGCCACACCUGCAGGUACAUGGGCAUCUGGCACACCAAAUUCACCGGUGAAAAUGAAACAGGAUGUUGGGGCACUGACUGCUGUGUGCCACCCUAUAGAGAAACCAUGACGACUAUAUGAUAUCUUAGAGAAGAUAAGUGCUGUGCACCAUCCUACAGAAGAUUACACCCAGAGUUUUGAUCACUACCAUAUAUCAGCUCCCAGGGUGUUGGGGUGUGAUCCAUGGUGUAUAAAAGACCAUGGCUACUUUUUACCUGAAAGUGACUGAAUAAGAAGACAAUAAAGAGACACUGCAUGCCGUGACCUUAAGUCUGGAUAGUGGAGUGAGUCUAAAUAAACUAUUGCAUCACAUACUACUAAACUCUCGUCAACUUCUAUCACCUUGCUUGGGUGACUUGCCAAUUAAGUGAGCUCUUGUGACUGUGGGGCCCACUGCUUUGAGUCACAGCAGGUGUCAGGUAUUGAGCGCUACUGUCACGGAGGCUGCUGUCACCGAGGCCAAGGGUGAGGCCCUCAAAGUUGCACAGACUUUCAACAGCUCCAAUAGGAAAGCUCAAGACUAUUCAUGCUGGCCCCUUGUUGACUCAUCUAAAGGAAAUGGUGCCUUGAGGACCACCCUUUCCCAGAGGAUGAAACCGGAGGGAUGAAAACCGAGGGCUUGAAGGUUCUGAGUGGCAAACCAGAGCACUUGCAAUUAAGGACUGCCAUGCCCACUCAACCUGGUGGGAAAUCUGGUCUCGUCCACUUCAAUACAGGUUGAGGGGUUUCUAAGAAAGGGAAAGUUGAUGGAGUUAUACAGUCUUUCGGGUGAGUCCAUCUUCAGCUCCCACAGUUGCACUAAAGAGGUUGCCACUGCACAUGGGGUCAAGAAGCACCUUAGUGAGUAGGUGACCCUGUUAAUGUGGACCCUGGAGUCGUUCGUGUAGGUUUACACUAUAGUCUGAAAGAUUAAGAUAGCAGAACAGCUUUAGAUCCUGAAAACAGAGCCCACUGAGUGUUUCAAGAUUUCCCACUAAACCUCAAUCAGUCCUUCAUCUUGUGGUCCAUGUUGCCUAUGUACAUGACAGGUCCAUGUUUGGGUAUAGCCAUUGUCACCAUCUAUCUCUUCCCAAACUGAUACUCUGCC
rnacentral:lncRNA from 1 species